rnacentral:rRNA from 1 species
GACGUAGGGCGCGAGCGUUGUCCGGAUUUAUUGGGCGUAAAGAGCUCGUAGGCGGCUUGUCGCGUCGUCCGUGAAAACCAGGGGCUCAACCCCUGGCUUGCGGUCGAUACGGGCAGGCUAGAGUUCGGUAGGGGAGACUGGAAUUCCUGGUGUAGCGGUGAAAUGCGCAGAUAUCAGGAGGAACACCGGUGGCGAAGGCGGGUCUCUGGGCCGAUACUGACGCUGAGACGCGAAAGCGUGGGGAGCGAAAGGG